rnacentral:rRNA from 1 species
AUUGAACGCUGGCGGAAUGCUUUACACAUGCAAGUCGAACGGCAGCACGGACUUCGGUCUGGUGGCGAGUGGCGAACGGGUGAGUAAUGUAUCGGAACGUGCCCAGUUGUGGGGGAUAACGUAGUGAAAAUUACGCUAAUACCGCAUACGAUCUAUGGAUGAAAGCGGGGGAUCGCAAGACCUCGCGCGAUUGGAGCGGCCGAUAUCAGAUUAGGUAGUUGGUGGGGUAAAGGCCCACCAAGCCAACGAUCUGUAGCUGGUCUGAGAGGACGACCAGCCACACUGGAACUGAGACACGGUCCAGACUCCUACGGGAGGCAGCAGUGGGGAAUUCUGGACGAUGGGCGAAAGCCUGAUCCAGCCAUUCCGCGUGCAGGAUGAAGGCCCUCGGGUUGUAAACUGCUUUUGUACAGAACGAAAAGGUUUCUACUAAUACUAGGAGCUCAUGACGGUACUGUAAGAAUAAGCACCGGCUAACUACGUGCCAGCCGCCGCCGUAA